rnacentral:rRNA from 1 species
CUAUGCGCCUUGCCAGCCCGCUCAGGUGUGCCAGCAGCCGCGUAAUACGGAGGAUGCGAGCGUUAUCCGGAUUUAUUGGGUUUAAAGGGUGCGUAGGUGGUUAAUUAAGUCAGCGGUGAAAGUUUGUGGCUCAACCAUAAAAUUGCCGUUGAAACUGGUUGACUUGAGUAUAUUUGAGGUAGGCGGAAUGCGUGGUGUAGCGGUGAAAUGCAUAGAUAUCACGCAGAACUCCGAUUGCGAAGGCAGCUUACUAAACUAUAACUGACACUGAAGCACGAAAGCGUGGGGAUCAAACAGG